UACGUAGGUGGCAAGCGUUGUCCGGAUUUACUGGGCGUAAAGAGCGCGCAGGCGGCUGGGCCAGUCCGAUGUGAAAGCUUCCGGCUUAACUGGAAAAUUGCAUCGGAAACUGCUCGGCUUGAAGGUGGGAGAGGGUAGCGGAAUUCCCGGUGUAGUGGUGAAAUGCGUAGAUAUCGGGAGGAACACCAGUGGCGAAGGCGGCUACCUGGCCCACUCUUGACGCUGAGGCGCGAAAGCUAGGGGAGCAAACGGG
rnacentral:rRNA from 1 species